rnacentral:misc_RNA from 1 species
CAAGCGAAAGCGAGGGCUAUCCGCGUUGCUCCCUUGCGCUGAACCAUGGGGUCGACCUUCCUGGGGUACUCAGAUGAGGAUCAUGGGCUCGCGUCGGUGUGGGGUCGCCUCAUCUUUCUCUCGUGCAUUACAACAGGGAUCUUUUACGUCUUAUUCGGUCUCUUUGCGUGCCGCAGGCUCAUACUGCGGGACAUUCGGUGGCUCCUCAUGGCGAUCCUCUACUUUUCCAUGGGGGUGUGCCACGCCUUCUUCACCCUGACACUACUCUGCUUCGCCAUUGCUUGCGUUCUCCACAGCUUUGAGAAACCGAUGCAGAGCGGGGAAAUGAUCAUGUACUCCGGUAUCAUGACCAUCAUCACCAUGUACUUUGCUUGCGGGCGAAAAACCAUCCUUUACUCCCUUUGACCUCGCGUGGGCUACCAAACCUCCACACGCACACGCUACAUUGCACGACUGCAGUGCUGCGUGGGCACCUGUACCCUGCAGAGAAAAGAAUUGCUGCGAAGAGUCAGCCGAUAUAAAAGCAAAUCGCUGUGAUCUCAAUGGCCACGCACCCCUCCUCCUGUGCUGUUCGCGCCUCGCACGUUGCUCGUCAACUUGCCGAAAAGCACCAGAGGUAGAAGCAUCUGCGAAGGGACGUUAGAGAGCGCGAUGAGCCAGUGAACUCACAAGUAUCUCUGCUCGUACGCACUACUCUGCAUCUUAGGCGUGCGAGCGGUGCGGCGCGCAGCAGGGCCUUGGGCUCUCUAGAUCCUCUUCCUACAUGCCAACGCGCUUAAUUAACUGUCAGGCGUUCCCACCGGUUCGUUCCUCUCCCGUAUCCUCUUUCCUCCUCUCCACGGUGAUUCUCUCUCUCUCCUUCUCGUGCGUGUGUGUGUGUGUGUGUGUGUGUUUUUGCGUCCUUGCCCAAUCACUCUCCGACUGGGUGGGGGCCUACGGGCUUACACAG